CGUAGGGUGCGAGCGUUAAUCGGGAAUUACUGGGCGUAAAGCGUGCGCAGGCGGUUUUGUAAGCCAGAUGUGAAAUCCCCGGGCUCAACCUGGGAAUGGCAUUUGGGACUGCAAGGCUUGAGUGCGGCAGAGGAGACUGGAAUUCCUGGUGUAGCAGUGAAAUGCGUAGAUAUCAGGAGGAAUACCGAUGGCGAAGGCAGGUCUCUGGGCUGACACUGACGCUCAUGCACGAAAGCGUGGGGAGCAAACAGGAUUAGAUACCCUGGUAGUCUACGCCCUAAACGAUGUCGACUGGUUGUUGGGGGUUUGACACUCUCAGUAACGAAGCUAACGCGUGAAGUCGACCGCCUGGGGAGUACGGCCGCAAGGUUA
rnacentral:rRNA from 1 species